AUGAAACUAGCAUGUGAUGGUGUACUAGUAGUUGGAGUUUUAGUUGAAGUAUGUGAUGUUGAACUAGUAGUUGGAGUGUUAAUAGUAUGCAAUGUUGAACUAGUAGUUGGAGUGUUAGUUGUAGUAUCUGAUGUUGAACUAGUAGUUGGAGUGUUAGUUGUAGUAUCUGAUGUUGAACUAGUAGUUGGAGUGUUAGUUGUAGUAUCUGAUGUUGAACUAGUAGUUGGAGUGUUAGUUGUAGUAUAUGAUGUUGAACUAGUAGUUGGCUGGGGAGUUGUCGAUCUUUCACCAUCGCAGGUCACACACAUCCAUUCACUGCCAUUUAAAUACAUUAUGUAUCUGCUUUUUUCGUUCCCUUAAACACAAAUAAACAGUGGAUGCAUUUUAUUGCAGUUUAAACAAUAUCUGAUAUCUGUUCAUCAGUUCUCAUAUUUAAUGGUCAUAUAGUCUAGUCAUAUUAUUGCUAUGAUUUUG
rnacentral:lncRNA from 1 species